GAAGUAGCGCAGGGUCGGCUUCGGGGCGCGCAAAGCGGUGAGGAAGACCUGCGGCGGCGGGAGGAGAGCUGUGGCCACCGCUGCGCGCCGGAGGACGCACCGCCCCCACUCCUGGAGUCCAGCCCGGCGCUCACCUCCGCCACCUCCUCAGGGUUCUGCGCCGCCUCGCGAAAGACUUGCUUGCUGUGGGCGAGGUAUUGGUAGAAGCGGUGGAAGGUGUGGAUGUCCGUGCGGUCCAGCACCUCCUCUGGGCUGCCCAACACCUUCUCCAUGAAGGCGGUGUGCACUGGGCCGCACUCGAUCAGGCUCAAGCUGCUGGCCGGAGAGCAACGAGUGGGAGGGGGCGGACGCCAGCCAGGCCCCAGUCCCAGCCCCAACCCCAGUCCCAGCCCCAACCACGUCCCGGCCCCCGACCGCGAGCAGCACCGCUGCGCUGGGAAGUGAGGCGGAAAGGGCGCUGGGGAUAACCAGAACAUUUGAAACGCGGGUUCCUGCCGGAGCAGCCCUCCCAAAUCCAUCUGAGGCUACAAGGGAGCCCUGGUGUCAGGAUUCGAAUCUAGCGGGGUCCCUGGCCGCUGUGUGACCUUGGGCCAGUCACCUAACCUCUCUGGGCUGGAGCUUCCCCAUAACAAUACCAACACUUCAGCAGCUAGGUCAGCAGGUGGCACAAUGCGUGCCAUGCGCCCAGCCCAAGUGCCUGGCACACAGCUAAUGUGAGCCGGGCAGAGAGGGCCAGGGAGAUCGCCCCAGAGCGGCUCCCGCAGGACAGGGUGCUCGGCGUCUCUAGGUCAGAGUUAAGAGGGUUCGGGGAACGGGGGUGUUGACUCACUGGACCCCAAAGGGCAGCAGCAGAACCGCCAGACUCUCGCAUAAGCCUUCGAGCGCGAACUUGCUGGCGCAAUAAACGUCAUUGAAAGGCAGCCCUUAGGUGGGGAGACGAGGUUCCUGAGGCGCAGCGGCCAGGGGGUCAUCCCCGGGCAGACGGUGCCCCUCCAAGCUGACGGCACCCCACUCCACCCCCCCCGCGGAACCUGCCUUCAAGGCUCAGCUCCGCACACAAAGAAUCUGGAGCUGCCGAGGCCACUCCCUACCACUCACCCAUCAAUCCUCCCACGCUCCCGGUCACCAACACGCGUCCCGAACCGCGCCUCUUCAUGUCUGGCAGGAAGGCCUGCAGCAUCCGCACAGUCCCUACUACAUUCACGUCCAGCACAGAGGCCACGGCGUCCUCCCCCAGCGCCUCCAGCGGCCCCAGCAGGCCCAGGCCUGCGUUACACACUUUGAAGCUCUGGGAUGGAUCUGAAGCCAGACGUACGGCCAAGUGCAGGCCGAUGCCCGAGGAACAGCCGGUGAUGAGCACCACGGUGCGGGCCAUGGUGAGACUGUGGGGAGAGGCUGGGGCUCUGGGCUUGAUAUCACCUGCUUCGCCCCGCCCCGCCUGCGGGCCCCCACCCCUUGUUGUGUCUCCCACGCAAUCUCAAGGAUAAGCCUUCCUGCGGGUCCCUGGCCCGCUCUCCCCACCCUGUUCUGAGCCAAAACAGACAUGAGCCCACUGCUUGGAACAACAAACUGUCCUGGUUGCUGGUCAGAGGGAGGGGAGGCUUUACAAGCAGGUGUGGGUUCCCACGUGGGCACAGAGUGGCCCCCUGGGCAGAUUCCCCUGGGUAUGCCUCUGUGCCACAGGAGCGAUUAUAGUGACCGCAGUUUGCUGCAGAGGCUGUGAAAGUAAAGGCGUUGGGAGGUGGGAGAUGAUUGUAUAUGUGCUGGUUUCGUCCAGGGUUCCUAGCUCAUAACUCACAUGACCAUGGUUACAGUCUUACGUUGUCAUGUUGGGGUGCCUCAGGCCUCAAAAAACAGCCUUUCGUCUCUCUG
rnacentral:lncRNA from 1 species